rnacentral:lncRNA from 1 species
AUUCCUUUCGAGAUGCCAUCAUUUCAUCUUCUGAAGAUUUGAGGAUUUUGAUGAAAUAGCAUUGAAAUCUCUCCGCCACUUUCUCAAUUAUCUCGUGCGAUGUUUGUAUUGAUUGCCUUGGAUCUUCCUGCGCCACCAUCGCCAAUGGCCAACCUCCUCUCCUAGGAUCAGUGGAUGGCUGGCCACCCUCGUCAGUACUCUCUCCACCCCCUGUAACACCGACAAGCUGCUCGACAGAAUGCUCC